rnacentral:rRNA from 1 species
GACGAACGCUGGCGGCGUGCUUAACACAUGCAAGUCGAACGGAAAGGCCCUUCGGGGUACUCGAGUGGCGAACGGGUGAGUAACACGUGGGUGAUCUGCCCUGCACUUUGGGAUAAGCCUGGGAAACUGGGUCUAAUACCCAAUAUGAUCAUCAGCUUCAUGGUUGGUGGUGGAAAGCUUUUGCGGUGUGGGAUGGGCCCGCGGCCUAUCAGCUUGUUGGUGGGGUAAUGGCCUACCAAGGCGACGACGGGUAGCCGGCCUGAGAGGGUGACCGGCCACACUGGGACUGAGAUACGGCCCAGACUCCUACGGGAGGCAGCAGUGGGGAAUAUUGCACAAUGGGCGCAAGCCUGAUGCAGCGACGCCGCGUGAGGGAUGACGGCCUUCGGGUUGUAAACCUCUUUCAGCACAGACGAAGCGCAAGUGACGGUAUGUGCAGAAGAAGGACCGGCCAACUACGUGCCAGCCGCCGCGGUAAAAC